rnacentral:misc_RNA from 1 species
GCACCUUCUUAUAGGACAUAUUAUUUGGUUUGAAAAUUUUAAAAUCACGAUCACAUCAUGCAUGGAUUGGUUCAAAAACAACUGUGGAAUGAUUAGCAAUGUGCAAGCUGAAUUGUCCUCCCUUUUCACUCACAUCAAUCUUCCUUGUCCCGGAUGGAGCUUUCAUCUCAAAGUUUGAUACCAAUUUCGAUAUCACAAGCCCUAGAAUUGGUAAUGCUAGUAUGAUCCCCGGGCAGCUGCGUCUACCCAUACCAAAUGGCAAGUACCGAAAAUCGACCUUUCCUCCGGCGACAGCUUCCGUGCCACAUUCUUCUUCAAAAAAUCGCUCUGGCCUGAACUCCUCCGGAUUCUUCCACCAUUGAGGGUUAUUAGCUAACCACCAUGCAUUGACCACCACCUUGGAUUCUCUAGGAAUUGUAAAACCCCCUAAUUUUGCUUCUUCAAGGUUCAUAUGUGGUACUAGCAAGGGAAUUGGGGUAUGCAACCUUAAUGUCUCUUUUACUGUGGCCUGCAAGUAAGGUAAUUCAUGUAGGUUUGAUUCUGUGACUGGAUUUCCCUUUAGGACGGCUGAGAUUUCGUCUCUGAUCUUCCUUUGGACGGUUGGAUUGUUCGCCAACUCAGCUAUAGCCCACUCCAUUGACCAUAGUGUGGUCUCUAUUGCUGCCACAUUAAUGUUCUCUACAAUAUAUAACACAUUUUCUUCGCUAAUCUCUCCUUUCAUUUGAGCAUAUAGUAUGUGAUCUAUUGCACAGUUUAUUUGGUGUUUCUCUCCAUUUGCAGCCAUUAUUUUCCUCCUUUUUUCCACAAAAUAGUUGUUGAAGAAAGCUAAUCUCCUUUGCUGCAAAUCCUUGCACUUGUUCAAGUAGCCUCUUAAAAAAGGUCUAAGCAAAGGAAUAAAAUCUCCAUAAUUGUACUCAAAGCUUUGAGCCAACCGACUUCUCUCAGAAUUAAACCUAGUAGCUUCAAUGAACAAAGGGUCAUCUUGAGACUGAAAUCUUGCAUCAAACAUCAUUCCAUACAUAAUAUUAUAUAGCAUCAGCUGCAAACGUUUCCUGAUGACAAUCCCUUCACUUCUCAUCUUCUCAGCAUGUUUAAACAAGUCAGUCACCACAAGCUCCAUUUCUUGCUCCCACAUAUUGCUAUAAUGUUGCACAACUUUGUUAGUGAAGAAUGGUAGGGUCAUAAUUCUACGCAUCUUUCUCCAAUGAUCACCAUAGAUUGUGAACACCAUAUCUUGACCAUUGCCUGUGAAAAUAUCGAACACAACAUUACGUGGUCGAGACCCGAAUUCUACACCUUGUGUGUGUAGAACUUGGGUGGCUAGCUCAGGAUCUGAAACCACUGCUAAAUUUUUUGAACCAAGCUUUAGUAGGAA